rnacentral:tRNA from 3 species
GCGGGUGUAGCUCAAUGGUAGAGCCCCAGCCUUCCAAGCUGACCAUGCCGGUUCGAUCCCGGUCACCCGCUCCA